UACGUAGGCAGCGAGCGUUGUUCGGAGUUACUGGGCGUAAAGGGUGUGUAGGCGGUUUUCUAAGUUUGGUGUGAAAUCUCCCGGCUCAACCGGGAGGGUGCGCCGAAAACUGGGAGACUAGAGUGCGGGAUGGGAGAGUAGAAUUCCUGGUGUAGCGGUGAAAUGCGUAGAUAUCAGGAGGAACACCUGUGGUGUAGACGGCUUUCUGGACCAUAGCUGACGCUGAGACACGAAAGCGUGGGUAGCAAACAGG
rnacentral:rRNA from 1 species